CCUAAGUGGUGUUAAUUGGAAUGGCAGAUCCAAGUGAAUGUGAGAUGUGAUUGGAACUUCUCUCUGACUUUCAGAUUCUCAGAAAGUUGAACACUGAGACAGAAGUAAAGAGGGGGGUAGAAAUCUACUUGCAGGUCUCCCUUACCUGAAGGGUUCCAUCUUUGAAGAAGAGGGAGCUUCUCAUUAGACUACCACGAGUCAUAGCUAUCCUUUUACAUUAUGAGAAUAUCCUAGGAUGGAGAGAUUGGACCAUAAAUGAUGCACAACCUCAGCAGCACAACCUCAGAAGCAACAAACAUGGAAACAGAGUUAGUGCUGCAGACCACAAACUCUGCAGCAGGGGGCCCAGAACAGUGAGCAUCUGGUCCAUGACUGACAGCUUUCCUAUACAUCGCUCCGCGUUCCAGUUGAGGACCAACCAGACGGAGUCCAAUGCAGUCUUCAAAUGAACCACGUGUGAUGCUUCACAUCUUGUCAGCUCUUGUCAAUCUUUCCCUAACCAGCAACCAUGUAUAUAUCUUUGGAUGUGAGUGCCCAAGAAAGAGAGAAAACUGUGAUUUUCAGCACUUUGCAUGUCUUAAAUAUAAAGGAAUGAUUACAAAAUUUUUUCUUGGGGGCUGAUAUCACAGGAAGAAUGAAAAAGAAACAGAUCUGCAGGAAGCAAAGCAAAGCUUGCAAGCAGUUGGGAAACAAUCUGGAGAAGAGGAAUGAAUGCUUUUGUUGAGAACAAGGUGGAUUCCAUUAUAUCAUUCUUUCUCAAUAAACAUAAAUCAGAGUCAUAAACAUAAAGACAAUGCAACAGUGAUGCUGAGAAGUGAUAAAGAAUAUACAUGUAUAUGUAUAUGUAUAUGUAUAUGUAUAUGUAUAUGUAUAUGUAUAUGUAUAUGUAUAUGUAUAUGUAUAUAUGCAAUAGAUGUGUGAAACAAGGCAAAACAGCCAGUGCCACAAAACUGGUGACCCUAAGCCACUAUUGCAAGUAUACUCAUCGGCCUUUGCCGAGACAUUGGAAUUUCAGCUUCCCCACAGUGUAAAAAGUUUGCUUUGCAGAAAAAAGA